CGAAACAAACACACUCAUAUUCGAUCUCAGUUGCGAUCCAACGACGCACGUUUUUACUCUCUUUUAUUUAGAGAUCUAUGUUUAUAUAUACUUAGAAAUCAGAUUUGAUUUGGAUUGUUGGAUCAAUCCCAUCCAACAAUCCAUUUUAAUUUAAGCCAUAAAAGACUUAAAUCUACCCCCAAACCCUAAUUCCCAUUCCCCAUUUCUCCCCACUGGCCGGCUCCAAUCCUCCUUCUCUAUUCCCUUUCUCGAAACCCUAAUUGUCCCCUAUCCCCUUCUUCCUUCUUUCUUUCUUUCCCCCAUUUUCUCCUUUCCAAUUCAAAAAUCCCUAAAAUCUCCUUCUCCUAUCAAACCUUGCUUACCCUGUGGCAGUUUCUCGUACUUUUCGGACUGCAUGAGUUGUCCAUUUGGUGAUUCUUUUGAAAAUAAAAUAAAAAUGCUUGAUUGCUUUCAUAGCAUUGUUGCAAAUCUGUAUGCCGAUGAGAUUAUUGCAGUGUAUGUCAUUCUAACAUAAGGAUACAUUAUGGGCUGAGUGGAUAUCUUGUCGCGAAUAAAAAGGGCGGUUUGAUGCAUUACGCUCCCACUGUUCGCAGGGUCCGAGAAAGGACUAGACCACAAGGAUGUAAUGUACGCAGCGUAUUUAUGAGAAGUAAAAAUUUAUAAAACUGAGAAGGUCAAAGGUUCAACAUACAUUGAAUCUCGUGACAGAUAUGUUGUAGGUUUUAGAUGAAGUUUCGCCAUGUGGACUUAUCAGGCACUCUCCUACAGCCUCGCUCAUCUCACUCCAGGCAGAGGUUGUGUCAUUUAUUUUGUCUUCCUUUACUGUAGGAGCUCUUGUACCUGUCUAGACUAGAUUCUGAAAAUUUCUUUUCAGUUUUAUUGUAUAUUAAAACAGAGCCUGUAUGAAGCUUUUACUUUAAUUUUGUGAUUUUUGAAA